rnacentral:rRNA from 1 species
UGGGGAAUCUUGCACAAUGGGGGCAACCCUGAUGCAGCGACGCCGCGUGAGCGAUGAAGCCCUUCGGGGCGUAAAGCUCUUUCGACCGGAACGAUAAUGACGGUACCGGGAGAAGAAGCUGCGGCUAACUACGUGCCAGCAGCCGCGGUAAUACGUAGGCAGCAAGCGUUGUUCGGAGUUACUGGGCGUAAAGAGUGCGUAGGCGGUUUUCUAAGUUCGGUGUGAAAUCUCCCGGCUUAACUGGGAGGGUGCGCCGAAGACUGGGAAGCUGGAGUGUGGGAAAGGCAGGCGGAAUUCCUGGUGUAGCGGUGAAAUGCGUAGAUAUCAGGAGGAACACCGGCGGUGUAGACGGCGUGCUAGACCAUAACUGACGCUGAGGCACGAAAGCGUGGGUAGCAAACA